rnacentral:misc_RNA from 1 species
GAUGAAGAACGUAGCGAAAUGCGAUACGCAAUGUGAAUUGCAGAAUUCAGUGAAUCAUCGAGUCUUUGAACGCACAUUGCGCCCCCUGGUAUUCCGGGGGGCAUGCCUGUCCGAGCGUCAUUGCUGCCCUCAAGCACGGCUUGUGUGUUGGGCCUCCGUCCUCCUCCCGGGGGACGGGCCCGAAAGGCAGCGGCGGCACCGCGUCCGGUCCUCGAGCGUAUGGGGCUUCGUCACCCGCUCUGUAGGCCCGGCCGGCGCCCGCCGGCGACCCCAAUCAAUCUUUCCAGGUUGACCUCGGAUCAGGUAGGGAUACCCGCUGAACUUAAGCAUAUCAAUAAGCGGAGGA